rnacentral:rRNA from 1 species
AACGAACGCUGGCGGCGUGCCUAACACAUGCAAGUCGUGCGAGAAAGUUCCUUCGGGAGCGAGUAAAGCGGCGCACGGGUGAGUAACACGUAGGUAACCUGCCCCCCAGUCUGGAACAACUAGAGGAAACUCUAGCUAAUGCCGGAUGAGACCACGAUCCCUUCGGGGGUUGCGGCCAAAGAUGGCCUCUACUUGUAAGCUAUCGCUGAGGGAUGGGCCUGCGGGCCAUUAGCUUGUUGGUGAGGUAACGGCUCACCAAGGCUGUGAUGGCUAGCUGGUCUGAGAGGAUGACCAGCCACACUGGGACUGAGACACGGCCCAGACUCCUACGGGAGGCAGCAGUGGGGAAUAUUGCGCAAAUGGGCGAAAGCCUGACGCAGCGACGCCGCGUGGGUGAUGAAGGCCU